CCUACGGGCGGCAGCAGUGGGGAAUAUUGGACAAUGGGCGAAAGCCUGAUCCAGCCAUGCCGCGUGUGUGAAGAAGGUCUUCGGAUUGUAAAGCACUUUAAGUUGGGAGGAAGGGCAGUAAAUUAAUACUUUGCUGUUUUGACGUUACCGACAGAAUAAGCACCGGCUAACUCUGUGCCAGCAGCCGCGGUAAUACAGAGGGUGCAAGCGUUAAUCGGAAUUACUGGGCGUAAAGCGCGCGUAGGUGGGUCGUUCAGUAGGAUGUGAAAUGCCCUGGGUCGACCUGGGAACUGCAUUCAAAACUGACGAGUUAGAGUAUGGUAGAGGGUGGUGGAAUUUGCUGUGUAGCGGUUGAAUGCGUAGAUAUAGGAAGGAACACCAGUGGCGAAGGCGACCACCUGGACUGAUACUGACACUGAGGUGCGAAAGCGUGGGGAGCAAACAGGAUUAGAUACCCUAGUAGUC
rnacentral:rRNA from 1 species